rnacentral:rRNA from 1 species
UGAGUACGAGACGCUAAGGCGUCGAAGUAGUGGAUGUCAUACUUCCAAGAAAAGCUUGCACUGUCAUAAAUAGAAAACGCCUGUACCAUAACCGACACAGGUGGGUAGGUAGAGUAUACUAAGGGGCGCGAGAUAACUCUCUCUAAGGAACUCGGCAAAAUAACUCCGUAACUUCGGGAGAAGGAGUGCCUUAUUCGUAAGGCUGCAAUAACAAGAUCCAAGCAACUGUUUAUCAAAAACACAGGUCUCCGCUAAGUCGUAAGACGAUGUAUGGGGGCUGACGCCUGCCCAGUGCCAGAAGGUUAAAGAAGUCGGUUAGCAUUAGCGAAGCUGGUAACUGAAGCCCUGGUGAACGGCGGCCGUAACAAUAACGGUCCUAAGGUAGCGAAAUUCCUUGUCGGGUAAGUUCCGACCCGCACGAAAGGCGUAAUGAUUUGGAUACUGUCUCGGAGAGGGGCUCGGUGAAAUAGACUUGUCUGUGAAGAUGCGGACUACCCGCACCAGGACAGAAAGACCCUAUGAAGCUUUACUGUAACUUGAAAUUGAAAUUGGACUUUAUUCGCGCAGUAUAGGUGGGAGGUGUUGAUUAUAAUCUUGCGGGAUUAUUGGAGCCAUCAGUGAGAUACCACUCUUGUAAUGUUAGAUUUCUAACUUUGAAUCAUUAUCUGGUCAAAGAACAGUUUCAGGCGGGCAGUUUGACUGGGGCGGUCGCCUCCUAAAUGGUAACGGAGGCGUACAAAGGUUUCCUCUGAACGGGUAGAAAUCGUAUCUAGAGUGUAAAGGCAUAAGGAAGCUUGACUGUGAGACCUACAAGUCGAGCAGGGACGAAAGUCGGUCUUAGUGAUCUGACGGUACUGAGUGGAAAGGCCGUCACUCAACGGAUAAAAGUUACUCUAGGAUAACAGGCUGAUCUCCCCCAAGAGUUCACAUCGACGGGGAGGUUUGGCACCUCGAUGUCGGCUCAUCGCAUCCUGGGGCGGUAGUACGUCCCAAGGGUUGGGCUGUUCGCCCAUGAAAGCGGUACGCGAGCUGGGUUCAGAACGUCGUGAGACAGUUCGGUCCAUAUCCGGUGUAGGCGUUAGAAUAUUGAGAGGAGCCUUCUUUAGUACGAGAGGACCGAGAAGGACAUACCUCUGGUGUACCAGUUAUCGAGCCAACGGUAAACGCUGGGUAGCUAUGUAUGGAGUGGAUAACCGCUGAAAGCAUCUAAGUGGGAAGCCCACCUCAAGAUAAGUAUUCUCA